rnacentral:rRNA from 1 species
AAUGAACGCUGGCGGCGCGCCUAAUACAUGCAAGUCGAGCGAGAAGACGUAGCAAUACGUUUGUAAAGCGGCGAACGGGUGAGGAAUACAUGGGUAACCUACCCUCGAGUGGGGAAUAACUAGCCGAAAGGUUAGCUAAUACCGCGUACGCUCCUUGGACUUCGGUUCAGGGAGGAAAGCGAUACCGUGGGUAUCGCGCUCUUGGUUGGGCUCAUGUCCUAUCAGCUUGUUGGUGAGGUAACGGCUCACCAAGGCUUCGACGGGUAGCUGGUCUGAGAGGACGAUCAGCCACACUGGCACUGCGACACGGGCCAGACUCCUACGGGAGGCAGCAGUAAGGAAUAUUGCGCAAUGGGCGAAAGCCUGACGCAGCGACGCCGCGUGGGGGAUGAAAGU